rnacentral:rRNA from 1 species
AUGGCUCAUUACAACAGCCAUAGUUUAUUGGAUCUUAGAGUCCUACUUGGAUACCUGUGGAAAAUCUAGAGCUAAUACACGCAAUCAAGCCCCAACCUGACGGACGGGGCGCAUUUAUUAGAACAAAACCAAUUGGCUUCGGCCAUUAAUUGGUGAAUCUGAAUAACUACGCUGAUCGCACGGUCUCGAACCGGCGACGUAUCCUUCAAGUGUCUGCCUUAUCAACUUUCGAUGGUAGUCUAUAAGCCUACCAUGGUUGUAACGGGUAACGGAGAAUAAGGGUUCGACUCCGGAGAGGGAGCCUGAGAAACGGCUACCACUUCCAAGGAAGGCAGCAGGCGCGCAAAUUACCCACUCUCAGUACGAGGAGGUAGUGACGAAAAAUAACGAGACAGUUCUCUAUGAGGUCUGUCAUCGGAAUGGGUACAAUCUAAACCCUUUAACGAGGAUCUAUUGGAGGGCAAGUCUGGUGCCAGCAGCCGCGGUAAUUCCAGCUCCAAUAGCGUAUAUUAAAGUUGUUGCGGUUAAAAAGCUCGUAGUUGGAUCUGCGGUCAUUGACACUGGUCUCCUUAACGGAGUACUUGCUGUCGUGACCUACCUUGCUGGUUGUC